AGGCCCCGCCCACGUCUUUAAAGUGAUGGAGAAAGUGAAAAGGAGAGCCAAUCAAAUUGCAUCUUCCUUUGACUCGCGACCAAUGGGAUAAAGGGAAGGGCAAAGUCGGCUGGGCAGGUCUUGGAAGUUUGAAAUUGGCGGUUAAGCCGGAUGCUGCGUUUGGGGACGCGACUGUUUAUCUAGGAUCCCUGAGGAAGUCGCCUGGGUGCUGUCCCCUGCUCUCGGCCACCCGCGAGGAGAGAUUACACAUGUAAGAAAAAGGAGUAAGUGUCACUCUUAGAAAAGGAGAUCACAGCCCGGGGAAGCUGAAGCAGGAGGACUGCUUGAGUCCAGGAGUUCGAGACCAGCCUGUGCAACAAACACAUCUCAAGUCAGACCUAAACAGAUUUCUCAAGAACCACGUGUGACUAGUGGCUACUGUGAAGCCCUGGACAGUAAAACAUAAGAAUAUGAAACUUGAUCUUCUUUACCCAUAGCACAAGUAGGUGGAAAAGGAGGACUUUAGGAUGAAACUGACCACAACUAAUGGGAAAAAAAGAACUGGGUCCUCACUGACAUCAUUGGAGUCACUGGAUCAAGCUGCACUUGAAAUUGGCAUGACCUCAGAAACUCAGUUAUGUGAGCCAGUAAGCUCAAUUUACUGUUUAAAUGUAUCCUAUCACUGUUUAAAUGUUGUCCUAUCACUUCCGACAAAAGAAUCUGAACUGACACAGAGAGUGAUCAAUAAUAUAAAGCAAUUUAUUAUAUGCCAAAACUGAAGAAUGGACAGUAAGCAUCAAGUGUGCAGAGAAAGGAUAAAUCAACUUGAGACUAGCCUGGGCAACAUAGCGAGACCCUGUUUUAAAAAAAAAAAAUUGUAGCAGGGUUUCUCAACCUCAGCACUUUUGACAUUUUGGGCUGCAUAAUUCUGGUGGGGCUGUCCUGCACAUUGUGGGAUGCUUAGCAACAUCCCUGGCCUCUACCCACUACAUGCCAGCAACACCCUCUACCUCUGGUUCUGACAACCAAAGGGGUCUUCAAAUAUUUCCAGAUGUCCCCAGUUGAAAGCCACUGUUAGAGGUGGUAUUUGUAAUAAAUCUGCAAGACUUGGUGGGAUGUACUGAUGUGGGAAAGGAAUUUUGAGUAGAGAUAAUUAUAUGAAUAAAGGUACCAGGGAAAGAGAACAAAAGGCUCAUGAGGAAAUCAAUCAUCAUCACUACUAAGUCUCAGCUAUGGUUGCCAACAACUGUUAGAGCAUUAAAUCUUAUCUAGAAAAUCAUUUUUAAAAAUAUUUUCUUAGAGAUGGGGUCUCACUUUGUUGUCCAGGCUUGUCUCAAACU